ensembl:snRNA U6 U6 spliceosomal RNA
GUGCUCACAUUGGCAGCACAUAUAUUAAUACUAAAAAUGGAAUGAUACAGAGAUUAGCAUGGCUCCUGUGCAAGGAUGACAUGGAAGGGAAAAAGCUAUCUUAGAAAUCU